rnacentral:miRNA from 1 species
GUGGAAUUCAUGCACAUGUUUGCAUAUGCAUGUAUGCACACAUACACACACACACAGACACAAAAAUGUGCAUGCACACA